rnacentral:rRNA from 1 species
CAGUCGCCACGGUAAAACGGAGGGUGCAAGCGUUAAUCGGAAUUACUGGGCGUAAAGCGCACGCAGGCGGUUUGUUAAGUCAGAUGUGAAAUCCCCGAGCUUAACUUGGGAACUGCAUUUGAAACUGGCAAGCUAGAGUCUUGUAGAGGGGGGUAGAACUCCAGGUGUAGCGGUGAAAUGCGUAGAGAUCUGGAGGAAUACCGGUGGCGAAGGCGGCCCCCUGGACAAAGACUGACGCUCAGGUGCGAAAGCGUGGGGAGCAAAUAGGAUUAGAGACCCGUGUAGUCCCUGUCUCUUAUAC